rnacentral:rRNA from 1 species
ACGAACGCUGGCGGCGUGCUUAACACAUGCAAGUCGAACGGAAAGGCCCCCACCUUGGUGGGGGUGCUCGAGUGGCGAACGGGUGAGUAACACGUGGGUGAUCUGCCCUGUACUUCGGGAUAAGCUUGGGAAACUGGGUCUAAUACCGGAUAGGACCAUGGUUUAGUGUCUCAUGGUGGAAAAAUUAUUGUUUUGGUGCAGGAUGAGCUCGCGGCCUAUCAGCUUGUUGGUGGGGUAAUGGCCUACCAAGGCGUCGACGGGUAGCCGGCCUGAGAGGGUGGACGGCCACAUUGGGACUGAGAUACGGCCCAGACUCCUACGGGAGGCAGCAGUGGGGAAUAUUGCACAAUGGGCGCAAGCCUGAUGCAGCGACGCCGCGUGGGGGAUGACGGCCUUCGGGUUGUAAACUCCUUUCGUUAGGGACGAAGCCACACCUUUUUUGGGUGUGGUGACGGUACCUUUGUGAAGAAGCACCGGCUAACUACGUG